CAAUCGAUUUUGGUUCGAAUUAUAAAUCUUCCUCCUCCUCUAAUCCUUCUAUCGAUUCUAUAUUGGUAACAGUUAUCAUAGAAGGUGUUUUUGAUGCGCGUUGAGCUCUCACAUUUUCGCCACUGUCCUCUUUGUUUGUAGCUCACAUUGCACUUUCAAUUGCCAUGACCCUCCCUCUGUCAAGCUUUUAACUGGAACUACUACUCUUGAAUAUGCAAGGAAUACAAGAAAUGGCAAUCUCAAAAAAAACAAUC
rnacentral:lncRNA from 1 species